UGUAAAGCCUAGAGAAGAAAACAAAUUAAAAUCAACCAACUCUUACAGAACCAUCUUUAAAAGAAAAGAAAAUUACACGCAAGUUCUUGUAGGUAAACGUUGUUGUCUUCCUCCUGCACACGCCGGUGGCCCGCCACGAGCGAAGCUCGAUGCUGCCUCUGAACCUCCGAACCACAUCGGAGUCAGGAAACCGUUGUUGACGUAGCAGUCGGGAAGUCGCCGGCCGGAGCGAGAAGACGCCGGCGAAAUGAUCUGAGAAACAGACCACCAUCCUGAAGAAGAAAACGACGAAGAGGGUUGGAUGACCAUCUCAGAUCCGGCCAGAUGGAUGCGAGAAGACCUGGCCACACUAACUCCACGAUGAGGUCGAAGCUGGCCAAGUCUCAUCAAUUGGAAAAAGAACAAAAAAAUGAUACGCAUAGACGAACUGCAAAGCACAAACACAGAACAAAAUCCACCACUCCAGAAGAGCAGCGAGCAACCGUCCCGCACUCCUCAACGUCACUGGCAUAAUCGCCGUCGACGAGGUGGACGAGGAGUCGGAAAAACCUUAUUCUUGACCCACACAGUGCCGCCAUCACCACCAUAGCGCCGCUGCAGGUUGACCAAAUCCUAAUUUUUGAAACACCAA
rnacentral:lncRNA from 1 species